AAUAGAUACCCGGGUAGUCCACGCCGUAAACGAUGAGUGCUAAGUGUUAGAGGGUUUCCGCCCUUUAGUGCUGCAGCAAACGCAUUAAGCACUCCGCCUGGGGAGUACGGUCGCAAGACUGAAACUCAAAGGAAUUGACGGGGGCCCGCACAAGCGGUGGAGCAUGUGGUUUAAUUCGAAGCAACGCGAAGAACCUUACCAGGCCUUGACAUCCUUCGCUACUUCUAGAGAUAGAAGGUUCCCCUUCGGGGGACGGAGUGACAGGUGGUGCAUGGUUGUCGUCAGCUCGUGUCGUGAGAUGUUGGGUUAAGUCCCGCAACGAGCGCAACCCUUGACCUUAGUUGCCAGCAUUUAGUUGGGCACUCUAAGGUGACUGCCGGUGACAAACCGGAGGAAGGUGGGGAUGACGUCAAAUCAUCAUGCCCCUUAUGACCUGGGCUACACACGUGCUACAAUGGAUGGUACAAAGGGCUGCAAGACUGCGAAGUCAAGCCAAUCCCAUAAAACCAUUCUCAGUUCGGAUUGCAGGCUGCAAC
rnacentral:rRNA from 1 species